rnacentral:rRNA from 1 species
CCCUUAGAUGUUCUGGGCCACACGCGUGCUACACUGAGUGGAUCAGCGGGUCAGGUUGCGCGAAAGCGUUUCCUAAUCUUUAAAUCCGCUCGUGAUGGGGAUUGACGGUUGCAAUUUUCUGUCAUGAACGAGGAAUACCUUGUAAGCGCGGGUCAUCAUCCCGCGCUGAAUACGUCCCUGCCCUUUGUACACACCGCCCGUCACUCCUACCGAUUGAGUGGUCCGGUGAGGCUUUGGGAUCUGAGCGGAAAGAGCGUUUCGCUGUUUCUGCUCGGAAAACUCAGUCGAACCUUAUCAUUUAGAGGAAGGAGAAGUCGUAACA